rnacentral:snRNA from 1 species
GUGCUCACUUCGGCAGCACAUAUACUAAAAUUGGAACGAUACAGAAAAGAUUAGUAUGGCCUCUGCAGAAGGAUGGCACACAAAUUCGUGAAGCAUUCCAUCAUUUU